UACGUAGGGUGCGAGCGUUGUCCGGAAUUACUGGGCGUAAAGAGCUCGUAGGUGGUUUGUCGCGUUGUUCGUGAAAACUCACAGCUUAACUGUGGGCGUGCGGGCGAUACGGGCAGACUGGAGUACUGCAGGGGAGACUGGAAUUCCUGGUGUAGCGGUGAAAUGCGCAGAUAUCAGGAGGAACACCAACAGCGAAGGCAGCACUCUGGGCCGGUACUGACGCUGAGGAGCGAAAGCAUGGGGAGCGAACAGG
rnacentral:rRNA from 1 species